rnacentral:rRNA from 1 species
AGUGAACGUUGGCGGCGUGGAUUAGGCAUGCAAGUCGAGCGAGAACCGUAGCAAUACGGGGGCAGCGGCGAAAGGGACAGUAAUGUGUAGGUACCUACCCCCGGGCUCGGGAUAGCUGCGGGAAACUGCAGGUAAUACCGAAUAAUGUCUCCGGACCAAAGGUGCGAUUCCACCUGGGGAGGGGCCUGCAUCCUAUUAGCUUGUUGGUGGGGUAACGGCCUACCAAGGCGACGAUGGGUAGCGGGUGUGAGAGCAUGACCCGCGUCAUUGGGACUGAGACACUGCCCAGACACCUACGGGUGGCUGCAGUCGAGAAUCUUCGGCAAUGGGCGCAAGCCUGACCGAGCGACGCCGCGUGCGGGAUGAAGGCCUUCGGGUUGUAAACCGCUGUCGUAGAGGAGGAAAUGCAGGAGGGUUCUCCCUCCUGUUUGACCUAUUCUAGGAGGAAGUACGGGCUAAGUUCGUGCCAGCAGCCGCCGUAA